UCAUCUUCCCUCUGUCUUGUUCCUAAGCGCACAGGGCUCCUCCGGCCCCGCCGAGCUGCGCCCGCUGCCUUCACACCCCGGACAUCCGCGCCACACGGGAGACCUGCGGAGACAGCCCCCGUGAGGCUCCCGUUCCCGCCCCCUCCCGCCCCAGGGACCCAGACCCCAGGAGGCCUCACCCCAGAGCAAGAGAAAGACCACCAACAUGGACAUGAUGGUCGCGCUCACUCCGGUGCAGUGAGUAUCUGGGUGCUGGAUCCUGGAUCCUGUUCUAGAAGGAGACGCUGAGUUCUCCGCACUCUACCUGGAGCUGCUGAGGUCAAGUGGAGAGUGCCAGGGCUGCAGCCCAGCGAGCCCCUCCCUGUCACACCACACUGCACAUGUGACACCAAAGGCGGGGUUCACCUCUUUUCAGACUUUCUGUGGUUGCCCUCACAUGGGCUGUCUGGAGGUGCACCUCACUCUUCUUGAGGACCAUGGUUCCUUCUCCAUCACUGGUUCAUUCUGUAUGGUGUGACCCACCAUGGCUCUGGAGUCGGAUUUCCACCCAGGUCAUUCAGCUGAGACCUGCGCUUCCCAGGCCUACCCGUGACAUGUGAUCAGUUACCUGAGCUGCUGGUGGUCACUCAUGUGGCUGUAGCCUGCUGCCUGGAGGCCAGGCCUCCCGCUUCCCCUGCCUCCCCCUCUCCUCACCACAGCCUGUUGGGAUGGAACAGGACAGGGGUGAGACCGUGGUGCUUUCACACUCAGCCUCCAUGGACAUCUUGUCAUUCCCACCCCGGGAGGUCUGGUCCCCACCCUGGGUGUCCCAGCCUAGCUCUGCUACGACUGUGAGGGCCCAGGGCAACCGCCUAGCCCUCAUCUGCCUCCUGCACUGCAUCCUCCCCACUCAUUCAUUCCACAGGCAUUUAUUGAGCAUCUACUGUGUGCCAGAUGCAAAGAAGACAGUGGGAUAACUGCGCAAGGAGCAUUCCGGGCAGAGGGAGCAGCCAGUGCAAAGAUGGGAGAUGGGGUUUCAGUGAGAAGGAGCAGAGACCAGGAGUUGAGGCGACUGCAGAGCGAUUGCAGAGCUCAGAGACGUGAUGAAGACCAGCUGGGCACUGCAGUGGCUCUGGCUUCUGCUGUGAGGGACGGGGAGCUGUGGAGACUCCCUCUGUUUGGUCCCAUUUCCAUAUUGCUGAGCACCUGCUGCAUGCUCUCUGUCCUGCUCAGAGCCAGUACUUGGAGGGAGGCUGUGUGUUCUGGGUGGACUGGGGGAGAAUGCAUUCUUUGCAGAAGAGACAACCAGGUGCUGAGGCUUGAAGUCAUAACCAGACCUGGGGCACACAGACAAGGACUGGUGGCCAGGCCAGAGGAGCAGAGCUCAGGGUGUGCACACAACUCAGAAGUCAGCCCAUUGAACAGUGGCUGAACCUUUCAGCCCAUUGGCAGUGAGGCUGCCCAGGCAGCCAGAGGCCUGGUCAAAUCUGAGGUCUGCAGAGAUGGAGCUGUCAGUCUGUUUCCUUUGGCAGUCCCAACACCAGCCUCGUUGCACCCUCCUCUUAGCUCCCCUGGGUUCUCCAACCCUAAGGGUGGUAGAAGCUUCCUGCAGGUAUCCAGCUCUGAGGUUCUGCAACAUCCACUUUUGCUCUCUGAGCCUUGCAAAACCUGCACAAUCAGUCCCUAACUUAUAUCCCCUGUGUUUGAAAUACCUAGUGUGGUUUCUAUUUCCUGA
rnacentral:antisense_RNA from 1 species